rnacentral:lncRNA from 1 species
GGUGAAGCUUGAUUGCCAUGAAGUGGUAAAAAAUGACGAAAAUGUUUCCUUCAACAGAAGUAGCGGGAAAGGAUCUGCACUAGUUGAAUUCAUUAGUCCAAAAGGGGAGGUUUUUGUUUGUAAUGGUGAUAUAGAGAUGGGUUAUGAUGAGAACCAGGAUUCUUUGAAUGAGCUUGGCUGUGCGUGCAAAAAUGAUCUUGCUAUGGUACACUACGCUUGUGCGCUUAAGUGGUUUAUUAACCAUGGAUCCACCAUAUGUGAGAUUUGUGGAUGUGUUGCCAAAAACAUAAGAAUUUCGGAUUUCAAGAAAGUUGUGAGCUCUUUGAAGGAGUAUGAUGCAUUGUUGCGAAAAAUAUAAGAAUUUCGGAUUUCAAGAAAGUUGUGAGCUCUUUGAAGGAGUAUGAUGCAUUGAGGGAAAGGACUGAAAAUGGGGAGCCUAAUCCUGCACAGGCGCUGGAAAAUUCAACUGU